rnacentral:tRNA from 1 species
CUCUCCUUAGCUCAGCUGGAAGAGCGCAAGACUGUAACUGUUCAACGAGCAAUCGUUAUCUUGAGGCCCGCGGUUCGAUCCCGCGAGGGGAGA